CAGAGCAGAGGUGAAGAGGGGCCGAAGUCUAGCGGGACCUUGGGGCCUUUGGGGCCUGGAAAACUCCACUGAGACCUAGGGAGACCGGGUCUAGGCAGGAUGCGAAACUUCACGGAAGUCACAGGAACCACGGAGAGCGGUCAGGCCACUUGAAGGCAUAAAAUCAGAAACUUCUAUGGAGUCUCCUUGUUGAGCUUUCUUCCUGCGCAUCUACUGUGACAGCAGACAGUAUAGUGGCCUGUUUUGUUUUCUGUCGUGCUUCUUCCUCUUGGUAUGUUGGCAGGUGAAGUGAAUUUUUAGUGAACUGAAAGGAAGUUUCUUGAAAGAGAGAGAAGACUGUUUAUGUUUUUCCUGGAGAGGAAGCUCACAAAAGGAAGAGAGAGAUGGCUUCUUUUCAGAUAUUGUAUUACUUUGUUCAACAUUUAAUCCGACCAACAUCACAGGCCUGAUGGAAUGUGCUGCUGGCAUCCAUUGACAUUCAAGGAUGUAUCCAUAGAGUUCUCCCAGGAGGAGUGGGAAUGCCUAGACUCUGCUCAGAGGGCUUUGUACAGGGAGUUGAUGUUGGAGAACUACAGCA